UACGGGGGGGGCGAGCGUUGUUCGGAAUUACUGGGCGUAAAGGGUGCGUAGGCGGUCCGCUAAGUUAUAUGUGAAAACUCUGGGCUCAACCCAGAGACUGCAUCUAAUACUGACGGGCUAGAGUUCUGGAGGGGGUAGCGGAAUUCCUGGUGUAGCGGUGAAAUGCGUAGAUAUCAGGAGGAACACCGGUGGCGAAGGCGGCUACCUGGACAGAGUCUGACGCUGAGGCACGAAAGCUAGGGGAGCAAACAGG
rnacentral:rRNA from 1 species